rnacentral:ncRNA from 1 species
CAGAUAGAGGUUGCGUGAUUCAUAAGUAGCUUAUCGGAUGUGGCAGGCACAGAAGAAGAUAGGAGAAAGGGAGGAACGCCGAAAGGGCUCAUCACACUGCAGGGAGCUUCUUGGGCAUAUGGUGAAGAAUCAUAUGACUGUCAUCUACAACUAGAUGGGGCGCUAUCAU